GGGCAUAUGGUGUAGUGGUAUCACUCAUGCUUUGCAAUGGCGUGGCAGUCGUCCUGCUUAUGUAAUUGUAUGCGGUCAUGGGUUCAAACCCCAUUGUGUCCA